CAGGAUCUAAACUCCAUCAUGAAAUUCCUGGAGUGUUCGGUGAGAAUGGCUUUGCUGGAAAGUCUCCAAGAGGGAUCAGCUCUCAACGUCCCACAAUCUCAAGAAUAACGUAUCAUAUUCAGAGGAGAUUACACAGAAAGCAAAGUGCCCUAGAUACACACAGAUUUGUACAUGAUUGUACGUACUGUAAGUUAUUUUGCUCUUACCGCAGACGGCAGAGCGGAUCCCGGCUGGACUUUCCCGCUGGCCUGUCUGAAGGCGAUGCGCUUCCUGCGCCUCCGGAGGAAGACGUAGAUGCGGAUGUAGACCAGCAGCGUGACCAUGAAGGGCAGGUAGAAGGACACCACGGACGAGUAGAUGACAAACUCUGGGUUGGAGAUGGAGCACACCGUGGGGUCAUCUGGAAAGGGCACACACACACACACA